GGCUGGGUAGCUCAGUGGAUUGAGAGCCAAGCCUAGAGGUGGGAGGUCCUAGGUUCGAAUCCAAACUCAGCCA
rnacentral:tRNA from 1 species